rnacentral:rRNA from 1 species
CGGAGGCAGCAGUGGGGAAUAUUGGGCAAUGGGCGAAAGCCUGACCCAGCGACGCCGUGUGGGCGAUGAAGGCCUUCGGGUUGUAAAGCCCUGUUGGGUGGAAAGAAGGACUUCUGGACGAAUAAUCCAGGAGUCUUGACGGUACCACCAGAGGAAGCACCGGCCAACUCCGUGCCAGCAGCCGCGGUAAUACGGAGGGUGCAAGCGUUGUUCGGAAUUACUGGGCGUAAAGGGCGCGUAGGUGGUUGUGUAAGUCAGAUGUGAAAUCCCGAGGCUCAACCUCGGAACUGCAUCUGAUACUGCAUGACUCGAGUGCAGCAGAGGGAAACGGAAUUCCUGGUGUAGAGGUGAAAUUCGUAGAUAUCAGGAGGAACACCGGUGGCGAAGGCGGUUUCCUGGGCUGACACUGACACUGAGGCGCGAAAGCGUGGGUAGCAAACAGGAUUAGAUACCCCAGUAGUCC